GCAGUCGAACGAUGAACUGGAGCUUGCUCCAGGGAUUAGUGGCGAACGGGUGAGUAACACGUGAGUAACCUGCCCUUGACUCUGGGAUAAGCGCUAGAAAUGGCGUCUAAUACCGGAUACGAGCUUCAGCCGCAUGGCUAGGAGUUGGAAAGAAUUUUGGUCAAGGAUGGACUCGCGGCCUAUCAGCUAGUUGGUGAGGUAAUGGCUCACCAAGGCGACGACGGGUAGCCGGCCUGAGAGGGUGACCGGCCACACUGGGACUGAGACACGGCCCAGACUCCUACGGGAGGCAGCAGUGGGGAAUAUUGCACAAUGGGCGAAAGCCUGAUGCAGCAACGCCGCGUGAGGGAUGACGGCCUUCGGGUUGUAAACCUCUUUUAGUAGGGAAGAAGCGAAAGUGACGGUACCUGCAGAAAAAGCACCGGCUAACUACGUGCCAGCAGCCGCGGUAAUACGUAGGGUGCAAGCGUUGUCCGGAAUUAUUGGGCGUAAAGAGCUCGUAGGCGGUUUGUCGCGUCUGCUGUGAAAUCUGGGGGCUCAACCCCCAGCCUGCAGUGGGUACGGGCAGACUAGAGUGCGGUAGGGGAGAUUGGAAUUCCUGGUGUAGCGGUGGAAUGCGCAGAUAUCAGGAGGAACACCGAUGGCGAAGGCAGAUCUCUGGGCCGUAACUGACGCUGAGGAGCGAAAGCAUGGGGAGCGAACAGGAUUAGAUACCCUGGUAGUCCAUGCCGUAAACGUUGGGAACUAGAUGUGGGGGCCAUUCCACGGUCUCCGUGUCGCAGCUAACGCAUUAAGUUCCCCGCCUGGGGAGUACGGCCGCAAGGCUAAAACUCAAAGGAAUUGACGGGGGCCCGCACA
rnacentral:rRNA from 1 species